rnacentral:lncRNA from 1 species
AAGAGCUUAACCUACAGAGAGUUCACUUGGAGUCAUUCAGCACAGCUCCGUAAUUCCACACUUGAGAAGUCUCUCUUGUUGUUGGACCACAGCCAGAACAAAAUUAAAGCAUUUCCUAUUCAAUUUUGGCAACUGCAAGGACCCACUCACUUAAAGCUUGAUAACAGUGAGUUGAUUCAAUUGCCAUUCAAGAAGAAGCAGUUUUGCAAAAUGGGUUUCCUGUCAGCAGCCCACAUUAAGCUUCCAUU